AACGAACGCUGGCGGCAGGCCUAACACAUGCAAGUCGAACGCUCCGCAAGGGGAGUGGCGCACGGGUGAGUAACACGUGGGAACCUACCUUCUGGUACGGAACAACCAAGGGAAACUUUGGCUAAGACCGUAUACGACCUCCGGGUGAAAGAUUGAUCGCCGGAAGAGGGGCCCGCGUCCGAUUAGGUAGUUGGUGAGGUAACGGCUCACCAAGGCUUCGAUGGGUAGCUGGUCUGAGAGGACGAUCAGCCACACUGGGACUGAGACACGGUCCAGACUCCUACGGGAGGCAGCAGUGGGGAAUUUUGCGCAAUGGGCGAGAGCCUGACGCAGCAACGCCGCGUGGAGGAUGAAGGUCUUUGGAUUGUAAACUCCUGUCAGCGGGAAAAAGGGACUCGACCUAAUACGUCGGGGACUUGAUUGUACCCGCAGAGGAAGCCCCGGCUAACUCUGUGCCAGCCGCCGCCGU
rnacentral:rRNA from 1 species